UUUUCAACCGCGAGCGACGGGAAUCCGAUUGAGGAACACCCCAGAAAUGGCUCGGCUACGAUAUUCCGAUAAAGAAGUCACGCCGGGUGUUGAAUAUUGUCAGAUUCAGAUGCAUCAAUGAGAGUCAGUAAUGCAGUGGAUAACUAUGAGGAUGAUCACAUCCACAUGCCCCACAGCUGUGAUGCAGAAUCACAAUGGGAGGAUCAAUCUGUCUUUGGCCACAACCUGAUCUUCUCAGAGAGACUCUCCAGCGUCUUGAUGCUCUUUAGCGAAAGUAUGAGCAGCACAGACUAACGUUACAUGAAGAAUCUUACAACGCUUCGAAAAGAAUAAAAAAGGCACAUGACGUGAACAUUGCGGAAUCUGUAAGGCGCCUCCAUAAUUCAGAGAACAACCCACACAAAUACGUUCCACAAACCAGAAUAAAUUCAUCACAUAACCUGGCUGUGACCACUUACCUCUUCGAAGAAUUAAGGUCAACUUUUACAGACGUUGACCCUGAAUGUGUAAAAGCAGGUUGGAAGAUGUAUUUUGAGACUUUGCGGAGGAAGUAUUCUUUGGCUCAGCCUGAAAAGGCCCAGAAAAGAAAAACUAUGACGAGCAUUGCAAAGAACCUUCAGAGAAAGCGACUGUUGCUGGAGACCAGGUCCGGGGUUGUACAAACCAACACAGAAAAGGAACUUUGGAAGACCGCAACAAUAGAACUGAUGUCUGAUGAAGAUGAUGCUAUUGUUGAUGAAAGGCCAGUGUGAAUGGUGAGGUCUCCACCAAUCUGCUCUCUGCUAGGUACUAUAAAACAGACUAGAGGCUGACCCACACUAUGCGUCACACCACCAGCGUAUCAUGGCAGUUUGAAAAAUGUUAACUCGUAUAAA